CCUACGGGAGGCAGCAGUGAGGAAUAUUGCGCAAUGGGGGCAACCCUGACGCAGCGACGCCGCGUGGACGAUGAAGGCCCUUGGGUCGUAAAAUCCUGUCAGAUGGAAAGAAAUGUACAGGUGUUAAUAUCGCCUGUAUUUGACGGUACCAUCAAAGGAAGCACCGGCUAACUCCGUGCCAGCAGCCGCGGUAAUA
rnacentral:rRNA from 1 species